rnacentral:rRNA from 1 species
GGGUUGUGAGGUUAAGCGACUAAGCGUACACGGUGGAUGCCCUGGCAGUCAGAGGCGAUGAAGGACGUGCUAAUCUGCGAUAAGCGUCGGUAAGGUGAUAUGAACCGUUAUAACCGGCGAUUUCCGAAUGGGGAAACCCAGUGUGUUUCGACACACUAUCAUUAACUGAAUCCAUAGGUUAAUGAGGCGAACCGGGGGAACUGAAACAUCUAAGUACCCCGAGGAAAAGAAAUCAACCGAGAUUCCCCCAGUAGCGGCGAGCGAACGGGGAGCAGCCCAGAGCCUGAAUCAGUGUGUGUGUUAGUGGAAGCGUCUGGAAAGGCGCGCGAUACAGGGUGACAGCCCCGUACACAAAAAUGCACAUGCUGUGAGCUCGAUGAGUAGGGCGGGACACGUGGUAUCCUGUCUGAAUAUGGGGGGACCAUCCUCCAAGGCUAAAUACUCCUGACUGACCGAUAGUGAACCAGUACCGUGAGGGAAAGGCGAAAAGAACCCCGGCGAGGGGAGUGAAAAAGAACCUGAAACCGUGUACGUACAAGCAGUGGGAGCACGCUUAGGCGUGUGACUGCGUACCUUUUGUAUAAUGGGUCAGCGACUUAUAUUCUGUAGCAAGGUUAACCGAAUAGGGGAGCCGAAGGGAAACCGAGUCUUAACUGGGCGUUAAGUUGCAGGGUAUAGACCCGAAACCCGGUGAUCUAGCCAUGGGCAGGUUGAAGGUUGGGUAACACUAACUGGAGGACCGAACCGACUAAUGUUGAAAAAUUAGCGGAUGACUUGUGGCUGGGGGUGAAAGGCCAAUCAAACCGGGAGAUAGCUGGUUCUCCCCGAAAGCUAUUUAGGUAGCGCCUCGUGAAUUCAUCUCCGGGGGUAGAGCACUGUUUCGGCAAGGGGGUCAUCCCGACUUACCAACCCGAUGCAAACUGCGAAUACCGGAGAAUGUUAUCACGGGAGACACACGGCGGGUGCUAACGUCCGUCGUGAAGAGGGAAACAACCCAGACCGCCAGCUAAGGUCCCAAAGUCAUGGUUAAGUGGGAAACGAUGUGGGAAGGCCCAGACAGCCAGGAUGUUGGCUUAGAAGCAGCCAUCAUUUAAAGAAAGCGUAAUAGCUCACUGGUCGAGUCGGCCUGCGCGGAAGAUGUAACGGGGCUAAACCAUGCACCGAAGCUGCGGCAGCGACACUAUGUGUUGUUGGGUAGGGGAGCGUUCUGUAAGCCUGUGAAGGUGUGCUGUGAGGCAUGCUGGAGGUAUCAGAAGUGCGAAUGCUGACAUAAGUAACGAUAAAGCGGGUGAAAAGCCCGCUCGCCGGAAGACCAAGGGUUCCUGUCCAACGUUAAUCGGGGCAGGGUGAGUCGACCCCUAAGGCGAGGCCGAAAGGCGUAGUCGAUGGGAAACAGGUUAAUAUUCCUGUACUUGGUGUUACUGCGAAGGGGGGACGGAGAAGGCUAUGUUGGCCGGGCGACGGUUGUCCCGGUUUAAGCGUGUAGGCUGGUUUUCCAGGCAAAUCCGGAAAAUCAAGGCUGAGGCGUGAUGACGAGGCACUACGGUGCUGAAGCAACAAAUGCCCUGCUUCCAGGAAAAGCCUCUAAGCAUCAGGUAACAUCAAAUCGUACCCCAAACCGACACAGGUGGUCAGGUAGAGAAUACCAAGGCGCUUGAGAGAACUCGGGUGAAGGAACUAGGCAAAAUGGUGCCGUAACUUCGGGAGAAGGCACGCUGAUAUGUAGGUGAAGCGACUUGCUCGUGGAGCUGAAAUCAGUCGAAGAUACCAGCUGGCUGCAACUGUUUAUUAAAAACACAGCACUGUGCAAACACGAAAGUGGACGUAUACGGUGUGACGCCUGCCCGGUGCCGGAAGGUUAAUUGAUGGGGUUAGCGCAAGCGAAGCUCUUGAUCGAAGCCCCGGUAAACGGCGGCCGUAACUAUAACGGUCCUAAGGUAGCGAAAUUCCUUGUCGGGUAAGUUCCGACCUGCACGAAUGGCGUAAUGAUGGCCAGGCUGUCUCCACCCGAGACUCAGUGAAAUUGAACUCGCUGUGAAGAUGCAGUGUACCCGCGGCAAGACGGAAAGACCCCGUGAACCUUUACUAUAGCUUGACACUGAACAUUGAGCCUUGAUGUGUAGGAUAGGUGGGAGGCUUAGAAGUGUGGACGCCAGUCUGCAUGGAGCCGACCUUGAAAUACCACCCUUUAAUGUUUGAUGUUCUAACGUUGACCCGUAAUCCGGGUUGCGGACAGUGUCUGGUGGGUAGUUUGACUGGGGCGGUCUCCUCCUAAAGAGUAACGGAGGAGCACGAAGGUUGGCUAAUCCUGGUCGGACAUCAGGAGGUUAGUGCAAUGGCAUAAGCCAGCUUGACUGCGAGCGUGACGGCGCGAGCAGGUGCGAAAGCAGGUCAUAGUGAUCCGGUGGUUCUGAAUGGAAGGGCCAUCGCUCAACGGAUAAAAGGUACUCCGGGGAUAACAGGCUGAUACCGCCCAAGAGUUCAUAUCGACGGCGGUGUUUGGCACCUCGAUGUCGGCUCAUCACAUCCUGGGGCUGAAGUAGGUCCCAAGGGUAUGGCUGUUCGCCAUUUAAAGUGGUACGCGAGCUGGGUUUAGAACGUCGUGAGACAGUUCGGUCCCUAUCUGCCGUGGGCGCUGGAGAACUGAGGGGGGCUGCUCCUAGUACGAGAGGACCGGAGUGGACGCAUCACUGGUGUUCGGGUUGUCAUGCCAAUGGCACUGCCCGGUAGCUAAAUGCGGAAGAGAUAAGUGCUGAAAGCAUCUAAGCACGAAACUUGCCCCGAGAUGAGUUCUCCCUGACUCCUUGAGAGUCCUGAAGGAACGUUGAAGACGACGACGUUGAUAGGCCGGGUGUGUAAGCGCAGCGAUGCGUUGAGCUAACCGGUACUAAUGAACCGUGAGGCUUAACCUUACAACGCCGAAGCUGUU